AUUGAACGCUGGCGGCAGGCCUAACACAUGCAAGUCGAGCGGAUGAAGGGAGCUUGCUCCCUGAUUCAGCGGCGGACGGGUGAGUAAUGCCUGGGAAUCUGCCUGGUAGUGGGGGACAACGUUUCGAAAGGAACGCUAAUACCGCAUACGUCCUACGGGAGAAAGCAGGGGACCUUCGGGCCUUGCGCUAUCAGAUGAGCCUAGGUCGGAUUAGCUAGUUGGUGAGGUAAUGGCUCACCAAGGCGACGAUCCGUAACUGGUCUGAGAGGAUGAUCAGUCACACUGGAACUGAGACACGGUCCAGACUCCUACGGGAGGCAGCAGUGGGGAAUAUUGGACAAUGGGCGAAAGCCUGAUCCAGCCAUGCCGCGUGUGUGAAGAAGGUCUUCGGAUUGUAAAGCACUUUAAGUUGGGAGGAAGGGUUGCUGAUUAAUACUCUGCAAUUUUGACGUUACCGACAGAAUAAGCACCGGCUAACUCUGUGCCAGCCGCCGCAGUAAAAC
rnacentral:rRNA from 1 species